UACAAUGGCAGGUACAGAGGGAUGCUACCGGGCGACCGGAUGCGGAUCUCGAAAGCCUGUCCCAGUUCGGACUGGAGUCUGCAACCCGACUCCACGAAGUUGGAUUCGCUAGUAAUCGCGCAUCAGCCAUGGCGCGGUGAAUACGUUCCCGGGCCUUGUACACACCGCCCGUCAAGCCAUGGGAGCCGGGGGCGCCUGAAGUCCGGGACCGCGAGGACCGGCCUAGGGCGAAACUGGUAACUGGGGCUAAGUCGUAACAAGGUAAC
rnacentral:rRNA from 1 species